rnacentral:rRNA from 1 species
CUACGUGCCAGCAGCCGCGGUAAUACGUAGGGUGCGAGCGUUAUCCGGAUUUAUUGGGUUUAAAGGGUGCGUAGGUUGUUCGGUAAGUCAGCGGUGAAACCUGAACGCUCAACGUUCAGCCUGCCGUUGAAACUGCCGGGCUUGAGUUCAGCGGCGGCAGGCGGAAUUCGUGGUGUAGCGGUGAAAUGCAUAGAUAUCACGAGGAACUCCGAUUGCGAAGGCAGCUUGCCAUACUGCGACUGACACUGAAGCACGAAGGCGUGGGUAUCAAACAGGAUUAGAUACCCUGGUAGUCCACGCAGUAAACGAUGAUUACUAGGAGUUUGCGAUAUACCGUCAAGCUUCCACAGCGAAAGCGUUGAGUAAUCCACCUGGGGAGUACGCCGGCAACGGUGAAACUCAAAGGAAUUGACGGGGGCCCGCACAAGCGGAGGAACAUGUGGUUUAAUUCGAUGAUACGCGAGGAACCUUACCCGGGAUUGAA